AUUGAACGCUGGCGGCAGGCCUAAUACAUGCAAGUCGGACGGGAUUGAGGAGCUUGCUCUUCAUGAGAGUGGCGCACGGGUGCGUAACACGUAUGUAACCUACCUUGUUCAGGGGGAUAGCCUCUCGAAAGAGAGAUUAAGACCGCAUAACAUAUUGAAGUGGCAUCACUUUAUUAUCAAAUAUUUAUAGGAACAAGAUGGGCAUGCGGAACAUUAGGUAGUUGGUGAGGUAACGGCUCACCAAGGCGACGAUGUUUAGGGGAUCUGAGAGGAUGGCCCCCCACACUGGUACGGAGACAAGGACCAGACUCCUACGGGAGGCAGCAGUAAGGAAUAUUGGUCAAUGGACGGAAGUCUGAACCAGCCAUGCCGCGUGCAGGAAGACGGCCCUAUGGGUUGUAAACUGCUUCUGCAGGGGAAUAAACCUCUCUACGUGUAGAGAGCUGAAUGUACUCUGAGAAUAAGGAUCGGCUAACUCCGUGCCAGCAGCCGCGGUAA
rnacentral:rRNA from 1 species